GAGUUUGAUCGUGGCUCAGAGCGAACGCUGGCGGCAGGCUUAACACAUGCAAGUCGAGCGGGCGUAGCAAUACGUCAGCGGCAGACGGGUGAGUAACGCGUGGGAACGUACCUUUUGGUUCGGAACAACACAGGGAAACUUGUGCUAAUACCGGAUAAGCCCUUACGGGGAAAGAUUUAUCGCCGAAAGAUCGGCCCGCGUCUGAUUAGCUAGUUGGUGAGGUAACGGCUCACCAAGGCGACGAUCAGUAGCUGGUCUGAGAGGAUGAUCAGCCACAUUGGGACUGAGACACGGCCCAAACUCCUACGGGAGGCAGCAGUGGGGAAUAUUGGACAAUGGGCGCAAGCCUGAUCCAGCCAUGCCGCGUGAGUGAUGAAGGCCCUAGGGUUGUAAAGCUCUUUUGUGCGGGAAGAUAAUGACGGUACCGCAAGAAUAAGCCCCGGCUAACUUCGUGCCAGCAGCCGCGGU
rnacentral:rRNA from 1 species